UUUUUCUUUUUUUUUUUUUUUGGUGAUCAUUGACCGCUAGCAAUAAAAACAGUAAAUAUGUACACAGUUCUUACUGGCUUGUGUUAGAAAGCACUUUCACAAUUAUCAAUUCCAUUCCACUGACGACAAAAUGGAGGCCAAGGAGGUAAAAUAACUAUCCCAAGGUCACAGACCUGGGAAUGACAGAAUGAGGAUUUGAACCAGGCAGUGCUGACCCCAUUUUGAGUGUUUGUACUUCUCUGUCAGGGAUCCAGUAGAAAACAAGACACUCAAUUGAUUUUAAGGCCCUCACCAGCUCUGUUCAAGCCUGGAGAACUCCCAUCCUGGCUGGCACCACCGGGUUAACAUCAUAGUCUCAAGUUUGCGUUGUGAUCCCACCAUGGUCCAUCAUAUCCAGGCAAUCACUGGGAGGAAGCGGGAACCACAAGCUCCUGUCUCUCUACUCUGGGAGUCAUGACUACCAGCUGGUAGCCCAUGGCCUCCUGAGGAACCUGGGUUCCUGCUCAUGAUGCCUUCCGUGAUUUUGUAGAAGGGCAUCUCUGCUUCAGGCUGGCUGUGCCUGUGAGCAGGGAGGGGCAGGUAGCAGAUGAGAUGCUCACAGCAAUGUCCCCUGAAGACCCCACCAAGUGCUGAAGAACUCAUGAGCUAUGUCCCAAUUUCAAGUGCUGCAGAACCUGCAGAUGCUUUCAGAGAUUUGUACUGGGUAGCGGUGGUGUCGAGGUGGGAGGUGAGUAAUCUUGUGUUGCCUGCCAGAGGAGAAGGCUUUGAAAUCCUCCGGCAGCUGUUCCCUUCUUCAGUCUCCCUCUGACCAUCAAAUAAAGUACUCACAGGGGAAAAGUCGUUUUCCAAAACGUGGACAGCCCCAGAAUAUUUAGACAUUGAUUAGGAUUUGUAAGUUAGUGCAGCUGAGGCAUUUUUCACCCUCCACAUGCCCCCCACUUUCCUGCCCACACAGAGAGAAUCACAAACUUGAUAUUUGAGUAUUUCUUUAAUCAAGUGACUCAUGUGUUACAGGUGCAAAA
rnacentral:lncRNA from 10 species